CCUACGGGUGGCAGCAGUGAGGAAUAUUGGUCAAUGGCCGGAAGGCUGAACCAGCCAAGCCGCGUGAAGGACGAAGGUGCCAAGCAUUGUAAACUUCUUUUGUCAAGGGACAAAAUCAGGCUCGAGAGCCUGACCGAGGGUACUUGAAGAAAAAGCAUCGGAUAACUCCGUGCCAGCCGCCGCGGUAAUACGUAGGAUGCGAGCGUUAUCCGGAUUUAUUGGGUUUAAGGGGUGCGUAGGCGGACUGUUAAGUCAGCGGUAAAAGCCCGGGGCUCAACCCCGGCGAGACGUUGAAACUGGCUGUCUUGAGAUGUCGAGAGGUAUGCGGAAUGCGAAGUGUAGCGGUGAAAUGCUUAGAGAUUGCGCAGAACUCCGAUUGCGAAGGCAGCAUACCGGCGGCGAUCUGACGCUGAGGCACGAAAGCGUGGGUAGCGAACAGGAUUAGAUACCCGAGUAGUC
rnacentral:rRNA from 1 species